CCUCAGCCAGCAGAGGCAAUUGUGUGUCUGUGGGGAACUUCAGCAACUGACUAUGGGGAAGGAAGGCGGGGCCAGCAGCCUCUUCGCUGUUCUAGCCACGGAAUCUCCGGCACGUGGGCGUGUUUUUCCAGACAGGGCGGGCCCACGGAGCCAACACCCCCAGGCGCCUCCUCCAAGUUUGUGCGCUUUCCAACAGCAGAACUCUCCCUGUUGCUGCUCAGCCAAAGCCCAAGCGCAGGGCGGGCGGCGGCGACUGCCUGCAGACGCCGCUGCCCGGCAGCAGAGCGCGGCGGGGCGAUGAAGGGGCGGCGGUGGCAGCACCGCCGCCUCGCCCUGCUGCUGGUGCUCUACACGCUGCUGCUGCUGCUCCUGGUGCCCUACGUGCACGACUACGGGGCCAGGCGGGGGCGCGGGGCGGAGGAGGCGCCGCUGCAGCCCCGCUGCCCCAGCCUGCAGGAGGCGCUGGGCGAGUGGGGCUGGGAGGAGGAGGAGCAGUUGCCCGGGGGCGAGGGGGCGGCGGCUGACAGGAGCGAGGCCGGCGGCGGCGGGAAGCGGCACAUCUACCUGCACGCCACCUGGCGCACGGGCUCCUCCUUCCUGGGGGAGCUGUUCAACCAGCACCCGGACGUCUUCUACCUGUACGAGCCCAUGUGGCACCUGUGGCAGGCCCUGUACCCGGCCGACGCGCUCAGCCUGCAGGGCGCCCUGCGCGACAUGCUCCGCUCGCUCUUCCGCUGCGACUUCUCCGUGCUGCGCCUCUACGCCGCCCCGCCCGCGCCCCGGGACCCGCUGGCCCCUCCGGCCCCGGGCGGCAGCGGCGCCAACCUCACCACGGCUGGCCUCUUCGGCUGGCGGACCAACAAGGUGAUCUGCUCGGCCCCGCUCUGCCCGGACGCCCCCCGGGCCCGCCACGAGAUCGGCCUGAUCGACGGCGCCUCCUGCGAGCGGAGCUGCCCGCCGCGGGGGCUGCGGGAGCUGGAGGCCGAGUGCCGCAAGUACCCGGUGGUGGUGAUCAAGGACGUGCGGCUGCUGGAACUGGGCGCGCUGCUGCCGCUGCUGCGGGAGCCCGGCCUCAACCUGCGGGUCAUCCAGCUCUUCCGCGACCCCCGCGCCGUGCACAACUCCCGCCUCAAGGCCAAGCAGGCGCUGCUGCGGGAGAGCAUCCAGAUGCUGCGGAGCCGGCACCGCGCCGAGCCCCAGGGACUCCCCCGCCGGCAGCUCCUGCCCGCGGCCGGGCUGGGCGGCGGCGGGAUCCGGGCGCAGCAGCAGCACCGGGCCGAGUUCUUCCUGAGCGGCGCGCUGGAGGUGAUCUGCCAGGCCUGGCUCCGCGACCUGCUCUUCUCCCGCCGCGCCCCGGCCUGGCUGCGCCGCCGCUACACCCAGCUGCGCUACGAGGACCUGGUGCGGGAGCCCCGCGCCCAGCUGCGCCGCCUGCUGCGCUUCGCCGGCCUGCCCGUGCCGCCCGCCAUGGAGAGCUUCGUGCUCAACAUGACCCGCGGGGCCGCCUACUCCUCCGACCGCCCCUUCCUCAUCUCCGCCCGGGACGCGCGGGAGGCCAUCCACGCCUGGAGGGAGCGGCUCAGCCAGGAGCAGGUGCGCCAGGUGGAGGCCGCCUGCGGCGAAGCCAUGAGCCUCUUGUCCUACCCGCCCAGCGCCGAGCCCGGCGGCGGAGCCCGGGAGGGGGACAGCAGGUAGCGGCUGCCUCCUGGGCCGGACAUGCAGAUUAAACUAAGGACAUUCAUUCCCCGCCGCCCCCCUCCAAUGGUGUCACAGUGUGAGCUAUGGUUGUUUGGGUACCUUGAGCUUGAAUUGCAGACAUUGGAAGGAUGUGUUACUGUAACAGCCAAGGAAUGAAGAAAAAAUCAUCCCUGAAGAGACUACAUUCCACAUCCUUUCAGAACUUCAGUUUAUGCUAACAAUUGUACAGUUUUGCAUAGCAGAACAAAUUCUAAUCACCUAAAACAGGUGGACAUGACGACUUCAUUUCCAGUAAGGAUAUGACAGUGCAAUAUGGACAACUAUGAACCUCCAAUAUGGAGUGGUUUAUUUUACAGUUUUGCCAGUCUAUGGUCAAUUGUAGGUGGUUUUUAUGGCAACAAGGACACUUAAAUUUUUAAAGUUACUGACAAUACUUGGACAAAUCAUCUACCGUUGCAAAAACUCAGUAUUUGCAAGCGUAGUAUUUCACACUUCAGUAUUGUAGCAAAAUUUUCAGAGAUCCAGGUGGUGGGUUUUUCUAAGUGCUCUGCUUCCCCACCUUGUAACGGGGAAUUAUUUUAUCCUAAUACCAGGACUGUGUUUUUAUAAUUCUGAAUACAGUAAAUUAUAUAGUAAGUUGUGAGUUUGAUUAUACAAACCCCCCCGGUGGGGGAGAGAAACAGUUGAAGUGCUGCUUCCGUUUCUAUUGCAUUGUGACCUAAUUCACAGAAAGCACAGUAACACCACACCAUACUCAUACAAGAAACUGCACAGAAACCUCUGUUUGUUUGGGAGGGGAAAAAGUUCAGGGCUGAUCACUGGUGUCAGUUGGCAUAGCUGAGGUUCUGACCUCUUAUGUUAAGCUCUUACUGAAAUGCCAAGCUAAAAUCCACUUCAAGUUUGCCUAUAACUCAUACCUUAAAUAACCCUUUGGGUGCUGAGAGCUGGGAUUUCCACAGUGCUCAUUGUUAAUGUACUGUAUAGACCUUUUAAAAGAAUGCUAAGGCUAUGGGGCAUUUGUUCAAUGUGAUCUGGGUUUAAUUUAGCUCCAAAUUUAAGUCUUACAAAGUGCUUGUUUUACAAAAGCUAGGACUAAUAGAAUUCCCAUAGAAAGCUGAUGAAUUAGCCAUUCCCUAUACAGCUGGAAAUCCUUUCAUUGCAGUUUUGUUAUGGAAUGCAAAUCUGAAAUGGACAUUUGUAUUUCUCUCAGUUUGGACAAGCAGGCCAGGUCUACAUUAGAAAUGUUUACUGCACAGCAGUGCCUGUUAAGGCUGUGGAUUUUUUGUGACGUUUCCAUGCCUUUAAAAGCCUUACUAUAGACAGUUGUAUCGGCAUAAGUGCUUUUGCUUAUUUCAGUCACUGAACCUGUACAUCUGUAUCAGCAAAGUGCAGGCUAGGCAUCAGUCACUCUCGCUGAACUUCUAACAGAGAGCAGUAAUUUACCAGUAGACUUAAAAUCUUAAGUGGUGGUAAUAGACAAGGAAUGUUAAAAAGGAUUAGCCUGACAGCAUACCAUGGACCUGUCCUUUUGUGCCUAGAUACUUGUGGACACGAGUCACUCUAUCACGAUUUUGAUUGUUACAAACGUCAGUGCUCAGUGACAUCAGCAUAGAUUAGUCAGUAGAUCAAACAGAGUAACUUGCAGAGGAAACAGCAUGGUGGCAUGCAAUAUGGAUUCAAAUGUGGCCAGCCUUGAUAGUAGUGUGUGCACACAACAGUGUUUUGAAAGAUUCUGUAAAUAGAUGCACACUCACCAGACUCAGAUUAGCAAAUCAGAAGUCAUCAUUCCAUAGUAAAUACUGACUACUUUAAGAGUUUGGUUUGUGUAGCUUUGAGCAGCUGUUCUUUGAACUCUUCAGCAACAAUCUGCAGUGUAAUUAAAGCCACUUUCCUAACCCUGACCCGUACAAGCCACUGUUGAAGUUUACAUUUUUUCUAUUUUAUUUCUUAUGUCAAGUGGUGGAAGGGGAAGAGUUGUUACUGAAAGUAAAUUCCUCAUGUUGUCCCCUUAAUGUAUUUUGAAUCCUGCAGUCCUUCCCCCUGGCAAAAAAUGUACUGAAGUUCAAUGGGAAUUCUGCUGAAUUUAGGACUUCUGCUUUAAGAACAGCAUGACUGUUUCCAACAGUAUUUCUGUAUUAAAACUGGAUGUCUAA